AGUUUGAUCCUGGCUCAGAAUCAACGCUGGCGGCGUGCCUAACACAUGCAAGUCGAACGAGAAAGGGGCUUCGGCCCUGAGUAAAGUGGCGCACGGGUGAGUAACACGUGACUAACCUACCCUUGAGUGGGGAAUAACUUCGGGAAACCGAGGCUAAUACCGCAUAACACCUACGGGUCAAAGGAGCAAUUCGCUUAAGGAGGGGGUCGCGGCAGAUUAGUUAGUUGGCGGGGUAAUGGCCCACCAAGACGGUGAUCUGUAUCCGGCCUGAGAGGGCGCACGGACACACUGGAACUGAAACACGGUCCAGACUCCUACGGGAGGCAGCAGUGGGGAAUUUUGCGCAAUGGGGGAAACCCUGACGCAGCAACGCCGCGUGGAGGAUGAAGUCCCUUGGGACGUAAACUCCUUUCGAUCGGGACGAUUAUGACGGUACCGGAAGAAGAAGCCCCGGCUAACUUCGUGCCAGCAGCCGCGGUAAUACGAGGGGGGCAAGCGUUGUUCGGAAUUAUUGGGCGUAAAGGGUGCGUAGGCGGUUCGGUAAGUCUUAUGUGAAAUCUUCGGGCUCAACUCGAAGUCUGCAUGAGAAACUGCCGGA
rnacentral:rRNA from 1 species